rnacentral:rRNA from 1 species
UAAGCGGAGGAGAAGAAACUAACCAGGAUUUCCCUAGUAACGGCGAGCGAACCGGAAAGAGCCCAGCUUGAAAAUCGCGUGGUUCCGCCCCGCGAAUUGUAGUCUGGAGAAGCGUCCUCUGCAACGGACCGGACCCAAGUUCCCUGGAACGGGACGUCGGAGAGGGUGAGAACCCCGUCGAGUUCGGACCCUGUUGCUCCACGAGGCGCUGUCUGCGAGUCGGGCUGUUUGGGAAUGCAGCCCUAAGUGGGAGGUAAAUUCCUUCUAAGGCUAAAUACAGGCAAGAGACCGAUAGCGAACAAGUACCGCGAGGGAAAGAUGAAAAGGACUUUGAAAAGAGAGUUAAAAAGUGCUUGAAAUUGCUGGGAGGGAAGCGAAUGGAAGCUGCGGGUGCGCCUCGGUUGGAUGCGGAACGGCGAGAGCUGGUCCGCCGCUCAACGCGGGGCGCUGGUCAGCGUGGGCCAUCGCGGCGGGACAAGAGCAGGCUUUGUUGCCGGCCUAUGCCGUUGUGGUGGCCGAGGGACGAAGCGCGCGCCACUCGUGGCGGGCCUCAGGGCACCUGCGCGCUCGGGACGCUGGCGUAUUGAGCUCUCCAUCCGACCCGUCUUGAAACACGGACCAAGGAGUCUAACAUGUAUGCGAGCCGGUGGGCGGCAAACCCAUUGAGGCGCAAGGAACCUGACAGGUGGGAUCCCCUCGGGGAGCACCAUCGACCGACCGUGAUCUUCUGUGAAAGGUUUGAGUGUGAGCAUACCUGCUGGGACCCGAAAGAUGGUGAACUAUGCCUGAGCAGGGCGAAGCCAGAGGAAACUCUGGUGGAGGCUCGUAGCGAUACUGACGUGCAAAUCGUUCGUCAGACUUGGGUAUAGGGGCGAAAGACUAAUCGAACCAUCUAGUAGCUGGUUCCCUCCGAAGUUUCCCUCAGGAUAGCUGGAGCUCAUGAAGUUUUAUCAGGUAAAGCGAAUGAUUAGAGGCAUCGGGGGUGUAACACCCUCGACCUAUUCUCAAACUUUAAAUAGGUAAGCCGCCAGGGUUGCUUGGUUGAACCCUGGCACAGAAUGAGAGCUCCAAGUGGGCCAU